AUUGCUUAUAGCGGCGAGUGAAGCGGCAAAGCUCAAUUUGAAUCUGGCACCUUCGGUGUCCGAGUUGUAAUUUGAAGAUUGUAACCUUGGGGUUGGCUCUUGUCUAUGUUUCUUGGAACAGGACGUCACAGAGGGUGAGAAUCCCGUGCGAUGAGAUGCCCAAUCCUAUGUAAGGUGCUUUCGAAGAGUCGAGUUGUUUGGGAAUGCAGCUCUAAGUGGGUGGUAAAUUCCAUCUAAAGCUAAAUAUUGGCGAGAGACCGAUAGCGAACAAGUACAGUGAUGGAAAGAUGAAAAGAACUUUGAAAAGAGAGUGAAAAAGUACGUGAAAUUGUUGAAAGGGAAGGGUUUGAGAUCAGACUCGAUAUUUUGUGAGCCUUGCCUUCGUGGCGGGGUGACCCGCAGCUUAUCGGGCCAGCAUCGGUUU
rnacentral:rRNA from 1 species